AACAAAAAGCAGAUUUAUGGGCAUUUUUUAAAAGGCAUUUUCCACUAAGUGCCUCGUAAAAAUCUUCACGGGGCAGUACCUGCUAAGUGCCGCAAUUUGUUGGACCUAAUGGGGUAGUUUCCCUUGCAACGUGUGCUGGUGAAUAGGAUUUGGUGAUCUAAGUAUAGCAGGGGCACUUGCAAGUGCCUCAAAAAAUAGGGCAUUAUCAAUCAAUUGAGUUUAAAAGGCUGAAAACGACAUCGCUGAUAUCUAAUCUAAUAGGGCACUUCUCCCCUAGGUGCCUCAAUACUGUUCUUUGGAUUCAAAUUUUGGCCAAGUCUCAUUUUGGCACUAUAAUCUCUCGCGAAUUGGGGAACUGGCGCUUUUAAUUUCUUUUUCAAACCUUAGAAAGUGUUACACAAUUCGGUACACAAUCCACUCUUCCCUCUGUCUCCUCCGAGUUCUCUCUUCCCUCUCUCUCCUCAGAUAUUGAAUUGCAACGGCAGAUUGGAAGGGUUUCUGUGCAUCUUUUACUCUUCCCCUCGGUGUCCGUUCGCCGUGUGUGAGAGAUGCAACUAUGCAGUGUAUAUUUUGUGUGUUCCUUCAAUUGUACUUUGGAGAAGACUAAUCCCCGUCAAGAGAAACCAACUUGUUACAGAGAAAAAGAUUGAAUAAAGGCGCUAACCAUAUUCAGCAACAAUUGGGUAUCUGAUCUUCUUCAACCCUCACCACCAAGAGCUGAUGUCAUGAUGGUAAUAGCAUUUGUUUUCUCUUUAUCUAUUGUAAUUUCAAUUUAUGAGACUUCAAUUUUUUGCAAUUUUGAAUAAGAACAUAGAGUUUUGCUUUUUCUGUUGGA